CGCCGCGGUUAUACGCAAGGCCCAAAUUGAUAAAAACGGCGUAAAGGGUGGUUAAGCAAAUAAUAAGAUAAGGUAGAACAACCAUUGAGCUGUUUAAAGCUAUGUGGUAAAGAACCCCAUAAACGAAAGUUGCCUUAAAAUGUUGAAUCCACGAAAGCUAGGAAA
rnacentral:rRNA from 1 species